GUGCAAACGGGAUUGUUUGCACUGAAUACGGGGCCGUGUAGAAUUGGGACUCGGUGGUUGAGUACAAUCUCAAACUCGAAUAGCGAUCGAAUCAUUUCGUUAGCUGAACAAAGAGGUCUACAACGGCGUUAGCGGUCACUACACCUUCGACACCACGUACAGAUGGAUGGUGCCUAGCGUUGAAAAUUCAAGAUGCAGACUUGAACAAGUUAAACCACAUACAAGAAUAGCACUAUACAUGCCGCAAUGGGUUUGUCUUGAGACUGUGACAACGUUUUGUAUGUAAACAAAGCUAUAGAUAUUUAAGGUUGUCAAGACAUUUUGAUUUUAAUUUAGUGAGUGUCGAUGUAGAAUACUUAAAUCGUGGUGUUGCAUACUGUGCAGACGGUUUCUACUUUGUUGAUCUGCUUUUGAUCGAGACAUCUAUGUACAAUAUUAGCAUCAAAGGUACCUUCACAAAGUAUAUUGUGAACUACCUGUCGGUAUUUAGCCUACAACAAACAUUGUAAUAUCGUUUCACGGUAACAAUAAUGUUCAGUAACAAUUUUGCAUGCAAAAUGGUUCACACGUUGGUAUCAACAUGUUUACAGUGUCUGAGGAGUGUGAGGUGGCUUUGUUUGUUGUAACGCUAUCUGUUGUAAG